rnacentral:misc_RNA from 1 species
CGUCUUGAGYGUAUUGUGGGUUUCUGUGUUGCAUACCUAAUAAUGGAAUCGUUUUGGUUGAUUGAAGUCCCUUUUCAUCACGUGUUGCCUUUGCGACGCAUGAUGAACCUCGAAGCGGUCUCUAUGUUCCACCAUGUUGAUGCUAGUGUCUUGAUGUUGUGGCCCAUUGAGUGUUGCUUGGUUUUGUGGAUACAGAACAUGAUUUGGGCAUAGGGUCACCUGUGACUCUUGUUUUGUCCUUUAUCAGUGUUCUCUAUAACGACGGUUCAUGCGCGCCUAGGCUCGUACCUGCGUGAUGUUCUUUGUCGAAGAGGAAUGCUACCU